CACGUAGGGCGCGAGCGUUGUCCGGAAUUAUUGGGCGUAAAGAGCUCGUAGGCGGCCUGUUGCGUCCGCUGUGAAAGCCCGGGGCUUAACCCCGGGUCGGCAGUGGAUACGGGCAGGCUAGAGGUAGGUAGGGGAGAAUGGAAUUCCCGGUGUAGCGGUGAAAUGCGCAGAUAUCGGGAGGAACACCGGUGGCGAAGGCGGUUCUCUGGGCCUUACCCUGACGCUGAGGAGCGAAGCGUGG
rnacentral:rRNA from 1 species